rnacentral:lncRNA from 1 species
CAGAUCAGUUUGUAGAGAAAGGAAACAAGAAGGAUAUGGCUAGUUUCAAGUCAAUAAAUAGCUUAACAUAGAGCUUUAGGUUGCCUUGGUCUUGGUGGUGGUUUGAGAAAGGUUGAAAGUGCUUGAGCUGUUCUAAAUAUAAUAUGCAAGAGAAGAUUCAUGUUGCUUUGGUCUUAUGGCAUGGUGAUGUUUAAAACAGUGAAAAUGCUGUGGGUAUCCAAUAUAUAUGUCAUAAACUUGGAUAAACUCAUAGAUAAGUCAGAUACAUGUUGGAUUAGUAUUUAUGGCGUUUGAAAGAGUUACAUGUAAAUGCUGAUGUUGUCCAACAUAUAUUCCCUAUAGCUAUACCCUACUACAAUGGAAGUUUGUGCUAUUUGUGAAAAAUCUUUCACUGACACUGAUGAUACUGCAGUUUUAAGAGAAAAGGGAAGCCACGGCAUCAACCAGAUAAGUGCUUUGAAAAAGGAUACAGUAAAAACAACUGCCGGACAAAAAGUACACACAGAUUGCAGAAAGAAGUACACUGACAAAAGACAUGUAUUGACUGAAUUAGAUGCACAUACUAAUGAAACUAGGUUACUAAGAUCU